rnacentral:rRNA from 1 species
CCUACGGGGGACAGCAGUGGGGAAUAUUGGGCAAUGGGCGCAAGCCUGACCCAGCAACGCCGCGUGAAGGAAGAAGGCUUUCGGGUUGUAAACUUCUUUUAAGAGGGACGAGCAGAAGACGGUACCUCUUGAAUAAGCCACGGCUAACUACGUGCCAGCAGCCGCGGGAAUACGUAGGUGGCAAGCGUUGUCCGGAUUUACUGGGUGUAAAGGGCGUGCAGCCGGGAAGACAAGUCAGAUGUGAAAUCCCGCGGCUCAACCCCGGAACUGCAUUUGAAACUGUUGUGCUGGAGUACCGGAGAGGUCAUCGGAAUUCCUUGUGUAGCGGUGAAAUGCGUAGAUAUAAGGAAGAACACCAGUGGCGAAGGCGGAGGACUGGACGGCAACUGACGGUGAGGCGCGAAAGCGUGGGGAGCAAACAGGAUUAGAUACCCCGGUAGUC